UACGGGGGGAGCAAGCGUUGUUCGGAUUUACUGGGCGUAAAGGGCGCGUAGGCGGCCACCGCAAGUCAGUUGUGAAAGCUCUGGGCUUAACCCAGAAAGGUCAGCUGAUACUGCGGGGCUAGAGUGCAGAAGGGGCAACUGGAAUUCUCGGUGUAGCGGUGAAAUGCGUAGAUAUCGAGAGGAACACCUGCGGCGAAGGCGGGUUGCUGGGCUGACACUGACGCUGACAGCGCGAAAGCUAGAGGAGCGAACGGG
rnacentral:rRNA from 1 species